GGUUCAACAGGCUCUUUACAACUUGCCUCGUUGAGGACUGCCAAAACCCGCUUCUGAAGAGCUAACACUUCUCCGGCUGCCUUUUUUCCAGCUUCAACACCAGGUUGGUGAUAAGCAUUGAUGUUGAUGAGUGAGGCAUAUAUCCCAACUGCUCGCUCGUAAAGCGCAACAAGAGCCCCCACAGAUCUAGGUGUCACUUCUUGCACGGUAACUGUUAUGGACUCCCUGUCAUUAGCAUACAGUGCUGACCUAGUUCCCUGCAGCAUUCCAAAUAGGUAGUCACCACAUGUGACACCGGGUUCAAGUUCCCAAUCAUGACCAGGGGGUCUAUCACGUAGCACUUCAAUGAAUGUCACAAAGAAAUUGUGCACACCCUCUCUUAGUUGUUGAAUGUAAGCGUGUUGAUCAGUGCUCCCUUUAUUUCCAUAGACUGUAAGUCCUUGAUUCACCCUAUUACCAUCCAGGUCAAAUUCCUUCCCAAGUGAUUCCAUGACCAGUUGCUGUAAAUACCUACUAAAUAGUAACAGGCUGUCCUUGUACGGAAGGACAACCAUGUCCUUGGAUCCCAUCCCAUCAGAGGCCCAGUACCAGCACAGAGCUAGCAUGGCUGCAGGGUUAUUCCUUAGCACUGUGGUCCUAUUUGCCUCAUCCAUCAAUGA
rnacentral:misc_RNA from 1 species